rnacentral:misc_RNA from 1 species
GGUUAAAGGCUUUGCUACUACACUUUGUUCCUUCCCAGUGGCUGCAUGUUACUUGCAGCUUGCCAUUUCAGACUUCUUUGUUCACUCACCAUUUGACAGGCACACGGUUGCAGACCGUGAAGCGGACAUCUUUGUUGAUUUCCUGAUUGAGGAGUUGGCUGCAAAGCGAAGGAGGACGAUCCUGUCGACAGGCUAUUACUUCUCUGAUAUUGGGUCUCGUAAUAGGAAGGUGGCGGUCCGGUCUGUUGCUGGUGACUGGGCGGUGAUGUUUGGUACAUUUGGUAGGAUUCCAGUUUCAUCAGGACUAUCCGGGAAGAGAUCCAACCCCUCAUUCACGCUGUUACUGGGGCUAGGCGUUGCGUCAGUUUGCAACCCCCCGUUUCUUAGCGCCUCGAUCUUCUUCCUCACCCUGCCACGUCGUUUCUCAAAUUUGCUAGUCUCCAUGGUUAUUGCCCUGUGACACAUCAGCGAAGAUCGUGGUCUGUGUGUGCACCAUGACAACGACGAAUCAUUCACAAAAUGAACAACGACUUACCUUCUACGCGACUUGCCUGGUUUCGCGUCGCGAUUGAUCAUCCACCAGGAACUCUUCCCAGUACCCUCGUUCUGCACUCGCAUAAAUCUGCUGUGUAAUGACAGAUUAUGUCUUAUGGAGUUCUGUAAACAAACAGAAAUGUGCAAGUUUUAGAGUAAAUUCUAAAUAGCAACAAUUUAAUAUAUAAAUUAGGAAAAUUCUCAUUUAAAAUACAAAAUUGAUUUAAUUUGAAACUAUUACUUGAAAC